UACGGGGGGAGCAAGCGUUGUUCGGAUUUACUGGGCGUAAAGGGCGCGUAGGCGGUUUGCUAAGUGGGAUGUGAAAUCCCCGGGCUUAACCUGGGAAUUGCAUUUCAAACUGGCCGACUAGAGUACGGUAGAGGGAGGUAGAAUUUCCUGUGUAGCGGUGAAAUGCGUAGAUAUAGGAAGGAAUACCAGUGGCGGAGGCGGCCUCCUGGAUCGAUACUGACGCUGAGGCGCGAAAGCGUGGGGAGCAAACAGG
rnacentral:rRNA from 1 species